AAAAAGAUAAGCUAAUAAAGCUUAUAGGUUCAUACCCUGUCAAUGAAAGUCCAAUCUUUCUCUUUUUA
rnacentral:tRNA from 1 species